rnacentral:rRNA from 1 species
GAUGAACGCUGGCGGCGUGCUUAACACAUGCAAGUCGAACGGAAAGGCCCAAGCUUGCUUGGGUACUCGAGUGGCGAACGGGUGAGUAACACGUGGGUGAUCUGCCCUGCACUUCGGGAUAAGCCUGGGAAACUGGGUCUAAUACCGGAUAGGACCACAUUUUGGAUGGUGUGGUGGAAGGUUUUUCGGUGUGGGAUGAGCUCGCGGCCUAUCAGCUUGUUGGUGGGGUAAUGGCCUACCAAGGCGUCGACGGGUAGCCGGCCUGAGAGGGUGUACGGCCACAUUGGGACUGAGAUACGGCCCAGACUCCUACGGGAGGCAGCAGUGGGGAAUAUUGCACAAUGGGCGCAAGCCUGAUGCAGCGACGCCGCGUGGGGGAUGACGGCCUUCGGGUUGUAAACUCCUUUCGCUAGGGACGAAGCGUUAUGUGACGGUACCUGGAGAAGAAGCACCGGCUAACUACGUG